GGGUUGUGAGGUUAAGCGACUAAGCGUACACGGUGGAUGCCCUGGCAGUCAGAGGCGAUGAAGGACGUGCUAAUCUGCGAUAAGCGUCGGUAAGGUGAUAUGAACCGUUAUAACCGGCGAUUUCCGAAUGGGGAAACCCAGUGUGUUUCGACACACUAUCAUUAACUGAAUCCAUAGGUUAAUGAGGCGAACCGGGGGAACUGAAACAUCUAAGUACCCCGAGGAAAAGAAAUCAACCGAGAUUCCCCCAGUAGCGGCGAGCGAACGGGGAGCAGCCCAGAGCCUGAAUCAGUGUGUGUGUUAGUGGAAGCGUCUGGAAAGGCGCGCGAUACAGGGUGACAGCCCCGUACACAAAAAUGCACAUGCUGUGAGCUCGAUGAGUAGGGCGGGACACGUGGUAUCCUGUCUGAAUAUGGGGGGACCAUCCUCCAAGGCUAAAUACUCCUGACUGACCGAUAGUGAACCAGUACCGUGAGGGAAAGGCGAAAAGAACCCCGGCGAGGGGAGUGAAAAAGAACCUGAAACCGUGUACGUACAAGCAGUGGGAGCACGCUUAGGCGUGUGACUGCGUACCUUUUGUAUAAUGGGUCAGCGACUUAUAUUCUGUAGCAAGGUUAACCGAAUAGGGGAGCCGAAGGGAAACCGAGUCUUAACUGGGCGUUAAGUUGCAGGGUAUAGACCCGAAACCCGGUGAUCUAGCCAUGGGCAGGUUGAAGGUUGGGUAACACUAACUGGAGGACCGAACCGACUAAUGUUGAAAAAUUAGCGGAUGACUUGUGGCUGGGGGUGAAAGGCCAAUCAAACCGGGAGAUAGCUGGUUCUCCCCGAAAGCUAUUUAGGUAGCGCCUCGUGAAUUCAUCUCCGGGGGUAGAGCACUGUUUCGGCAAGGGGGUCAUCCCGACUUACCAACCCGAUGCAAACUGCGAAUACCGGAGAAUGUUAUCACGGGAGACACACGGCGGGUGCUAACGUCCGUCGUGAAGAGGGAAACAACCCAGACCGCCAGCUAAGGUCCCAAAGUCAUGGUUAAGUGGGAAACGAUGUGGGAAGGCCCAGACAGCCAGGAUGUUGGCUUAGAAGCAGCCAUCAUUUAAAGAAAGCGUAAUAGCUCACUGGUCGAGUCGGCCUGCGCGGAAGAUGUAACGGGGCUAAACCAUGCACCGAAGCUGCGGCAGCGACGCUGAUGCGUUGUUGGGUAGGGGAGCGUUCUGUAAGCCUGCGAAGGUGUGCUGUGAGGCAUGCUGGAGGUAUCAGAAGUGCGAAUGCUGACAUAAGUAACGAUAAAGCGGGUGAAAAGCCCGCUCGCCGGAAGACCAAGGGUUCCUGUCCAACGUUAAUCGGGGCAGGGUGAGUCGACCCCUAAGGCGAGGCCGAAAGGCGUAGUCGAUGGGAAACAGGUUAAUAUUCCUGUACUUGGUGUUACUGCGAAGGGGGGACGGAGAAGGCUAUGUUGGCCGGGCGACGGUUGUCCCGGUUUAAGCGUGUAGGCUGGUUUUCCAGGCAAAUCCGGAAAAUCAAGGCUGAGGCGUGAUGACGAGGCACUACGGUGCUGAAGCAACAAAUGCCCUGCUUCCAGGAAAAGCCUCUAAGCAUCAGGUAACAUCAAAUCGUACCCCAAACCGACACAGGUGGUCAGGUAGAGAAUACCAAGGCGCUUGAGAGAACUCGGGUGAAGGAACUAGGCAAAAUGGUGCCGUAACUUCGGGAGAAGGCACGCUGAUAUGUAGGUGAAGUCCCUCGCGGAUGGAGCUGAAAUCAGUCGAAGAUACCAGCUGGCUGCAACUGUUUAUUAAAAACACAGCACUGUGCAAACACGAAAGUGGACGUAUACGGUGUGACGCCUGCCCGGUGCCGGAAGGUUAAUUGAUGGGGUUAGCGCAAGCGAAGCUCUUGAUCGAAGCCCCGGUAAACGGCGGCCGUAACUAUAACGGUCCUAAGGUAGCGAAAUUCCUUGUCGGGUAAGUUCCGACCUGCACGAAUGGCGUAAUGAUGGCCAGGCUGUCUCCACCCGAGACUCAGUGAAAUUGAACUCGCUGUGAAGAUGCAGUGUACCCGCGGCAAGACGGAAAGACCCCGUGAACCUUUACUAUAGCUUGACACUGAACAUUGAGCCUUGAUGUGUAGGAUAGGUGGGAGGCUUUGAAGUGUGGACGCCAGUCUGCAUGGAGCCGACCUUGAAAUACCACCCUUUAAUGUUUGAUGUUCUAACGUUGACCCGUGAUCCGGGUUGCGGACAGUGUCUGGUGGGUAGUUUGACUGGGGCGGUCUCCUCCUAAAGAGUAACGGAGGAGCACGAAGGUUGGCUAAUCCUGGUCGGACAUCAGGAGGUUAGUGCAAUGGCAUAAGCCAGCUUGACUGCGAGCGUGACGGCGCGAGCAGGUGCGAAAGCAGGUCAUAGUGAUCCGGUGGUUCUGAAUGGAAGGGCCAUCGCUCAACGGAUAAAAGGUACUCCGGGGAUAACAGGCUGAUACCGCCCAAGAGUUCAUAUCGACGGCGGUGUUUGGCACCUCGAUGUCGGCUCAUCACAUCCUGGGGCUGAAGUAGGUCCCAAGGGUAUGGCUGUUCGCCAUUUAAAGUGGUACGCGAGCUGGGUUUAGAACGUCGUGAGACAGUUCGGUCCCUAUCUGCCGUGGGCGCUGGAGAACUGAGGGGGGCUGCUCCUAGUACGAGAGGACCGGAGUGGACGCAUCACUGGUGUUCGGGUUGUCAUGCCAAUGGCACUGCCCGGUAGCUAAAUGCGGAAGAGAUAAGUGCUGAAAGCAUCUAAGCACGAAACUUGCCCCGAGAUGAGUUCUCCCUGACUCCUUGAGAGUCCUGAAGGAACGUUGAAGACGACGACGUUGAUAGGCCGGGUGUGUAAGCGCAGCGAUGCGUUGAGCUAACCGGUACUAAUGAACCGUGAGGCUUAACCUUACAACGCCGAAG
rnacentral:rRNA from 1 species